ACAUGUGAAUGGGUAAAAUGGCAUCUUUCACAGUAUUUCUGCCAUCCUUUUACUUGUUUUGGGUCAUCACUCCUUACUGACUUCCAAAACCUGAGCUGUCUGUAUCCUCUUCAGUAAUUUUGCCGACAACCAAAGUCCAUCUGAGUUGUAUAGUCCCUCAGGAUCCAGUGCCUCAGUGUUUUUUCUCAGUGGGAACAUACACCAACUCUUCAUCAUCAUGCCAGCUGACCCUCACAGGAGAACAAAUGAAAGUCUGGGGACAUGUAAACCCACCUUCAGUGCUUCC
ensembl:lncRNA